GACGAACGCUGGCGGCGUGCUUAACACAUGCAAGUCGAACGGAAAGGCCCUGCUUUUGUGGGGUUCUCGAGUGGCGAACGGGUGAGUAACACGUGAGUAACCUGCCCUAGACUUUGGGGUAACUUCAGGAAACUGGGGUUAAUACCGGACAGGAGAUCCUCUUCCAUGGAGGGGGUGGGAAAUUUUCGGCGGUCGGGGAUGGACUCGCGGCUUACCGGCUUGUUGGUGGGGUAGGGGAUUACCAAGGCUGUGACGGGUAGCCGGCCGGAGAGGGUGAACGGCCACAUUGGGACUGAGGUAGGGCGCAGAGUCCUACGUUAGGCAGCAGUGGGGAAUAUUGCCCAGUCGUAGGAAGCCUGAUGCAGCGACGCCGCGUGUGGGAUGACGUCCUGUGGGUUGUAAACCGCUUUCGCCUGUGACGAAGCGUGUGUGACGGUAAUGGGUAAAGAAGCACCGGCUAACUACGUG
rnacentral:rRNA from 1 species